GCCUCCUCCUCUCUCCCUCCCUCCCGCAGCCGCCUCCCUCCCUCCCGCGCGCCUCCUCUCCUCCCCCCGCCUCCCGCAGCCACAUCGCCGCCGCCGCCACCCGCCUCCCCACUCGGGCGAACCCCUCUCCUCUUCCCCCGCCUCACCUCUCUCCCUUCCCCCGUCCAAACCCUAGGCCCGCGCCCGCCGGCCGCCGCCGCCGCCGCUCGCCCAGGCCAUCCUCCCGCUGUGAAGGAAGCGGCCAAAGAGGAAGGGCGUCGCCGGGUGUGCAUGUGCCUCCGCGGAUUCGUGCCACGGUUGCCGGAGGCGUGGGCGCCGCGGGUCACCUCUCCAGAUCGGUGGAGGGCAAGGGCAAGGGCAAGGAGGAGGGGAGAAGAAGACCUUCGGCCAGCUGCGGGAAGCCGCCGCUGGUGUCCUCCGCGGCAUCCACCGGCGCCGGUGGCGGGCAGAAGCGCAAGUGCCACGACCACGCGCACUCCGAGAACGUCGCCGGCGGAAAGUACGGCGCCUCCGGUGGCCGCCGCCACUGCUCCAAGCGCGGAAGUCCCAGGUUCGGCGGAUGACUCGCAUGCCGGCAAUCAGCUCGAAGGCGGCGGAGAUCCCCGCAGGCGACUUCUCGUGGCGCAAGUACGGGCAGAAGCUGCCUGUGGAGAAUGCCCUGGACUCAGCAGUUGACGUAACUCGGUUGAGCUGCGGUGCGCUAUAUUUAGCUGAUUUUAUUGGGAAGGGAAGGGGUAUGAAAUUCUCAACUUAGAGGGAGCAUACACAAGUGUAAGCAGACCCUUGAGCAAGAGAGCAACAUGACUGCUAGCUUCCCUGCUGCAUUACAGGAGAUGGAUACGAAGUCCUCGGAGGAGGAAUACAAAGCUCUACAAGGUGAUGGAGCUGGAGAUGUGUAUUUCCAGUCUCUUGAAGAACGAAUCAUUUAUAUGAAGAUUUUGCAGGGAUGUAUAUAUAUGGUCGUGUUUCACUGGGAUCCUCAACUGUUCCAGUUCGUAUUUAGCAGGAUCACAUGUUGACCAAUGACUCAAAUUAAUUUUCUCACUGAUCCAGUUAACUCAAGAACUUGUGACCCAGUUCUAGGACAACUGUGGACUAAGGGAUGGAGGUUGAUUUAUCAGCGGUUACAGGCAUGCAUGCUUUAUGGUGGCAAGCAUUAUAUAUCAUUGAAGACUUUCCAUUUGUUCAAGUUCCUGAUAUGCUAAUCGGUAACCUUUAGAUUUGUUUGGAGAGUUCUGUCCAUCCAAGCACCAUGCUUAUGUGGCCAAAGAAGCGCUUACAAAAAGAAGAAAGAGACCUGGUUUGCCUUCCUUGCUGGCGUCCUUGUCAUCUCCAACCCGCCCACGGGGUGCUCAAGGGGUUCGGCCAAGUCGGAUGCCAGGCGGUGCGCGCAGCUGAGGAGCACUGGCAGCAGGCGCUUGAUGCGGCGCUCCCCGCGUCGCCGCUGCUCAUUCGCGGCUCCUCCUCCUCCCCAACGGAUCGCGACUGAACCUUCCUUGUGCCAGCACCUCGUGGCCAUGAAGGGUGGCUGAGCCAUCAGGAGCGGCGGCGGCGGCCUGCUGCGGAUGCUGCUGCGGCUCCCUCCUCUUCCUCGUCGGCUUCUACCUGCUUUGUGCCGACGCCAUGUACAUCGUGUCAUCCCGGUGCUUCUGCUUUCCCGGGUCGCAACUCUUUGGUGUGCUCGACAAGGCCAGGACUCACAUUCUGGAGAGCUCCUUGGUCAGUCCAUCACGAGAACCGGCAGCUACCGGAUUCCUUUUGUGCUGCUGGAAAGGAGGCACAUUGUUCCCAUGCUCGUGCUCUAUGGGUAGAAGCUGCAAAUUCUGGAGGUAUCAGACGAGGGUAUUCGAAGAAGACACCAUGAAUGGCAGCAGACUCUACCGCUUCCAUUACAAUGGUAUUCAAAAAAGAUACCACCUUGUGGCCUUUCCUGUUUCCUGUGACUACGACUUCCAACUCUUUAACUGGGAUGGUGUCAAAAGAAAUUCUGUAACUGGGACACAAUAAAAUAAAUUGGUACAACUAUGUGGAUUCCUUGGUAAGCUCAUGAUUCAUCUGGCUAAGCAGUCUUAGUAGACCGCCAAUGUUGUGUUAUUAAGAUGCAGGUUUCAAUAACCUUCAUGUUUGCGGCUAAAAUAAUGUAGUUAUCUCGGUAGUCUAGGUAGAUUGAAAUAAUUGUUUAUCCUUGAAGCAAAUCAACUAAACAACUGCCAGUAGAUGAUGAGGUGCCUUCUGCAAACAAAAAAGCUAAGCUCUAAGCGAGUAUUUUUAGGCGACCUAUCUUUUUCGGUGAUUUGUUUAAUCCUUCCUCUGCUCAAUUGAUGUGAAGCACAAACCUUGCUCUGCUAAAUUGAUGUGAACCACAAUCCUUGCUCUGCUCAAUUGAUCUUCCCAGCAAAUCAAUGAACAUGUGCCCACAGGGACACAGUCAAAGCAAGGUAUCUGAAGACCUGAUGGGAAAUGAGGAGGUGCCCUUUGCAACUAAAAAGACUAAGUUGGAGACCAAGUGCCUUUAGGCAACGCGCCCUUUUGGAUUGUAGCGUAUUAGUUGCGGAUGUGCAGAAAAUGCUGAUUUAGCGGAUGGUUGCCUUUUCCAUCUGGGAUCGCUUUUGUUGCGACCUGUCGCUUAUAAUAGAGUGAUCUGUUUUACUGAUCCUGGCCAAGUGGAAUCUACUGUCUGUCAAUGUCCAAAUGCUGCAGUCAGUAGUUAGUGUGACAUGGAUCUUGACUAAUGUAUCCCAUCAGUUUAGCCGUGUGUUGCUAGCUGAUGUGAAAGUAUGUGUGAUUACCAUACUUAUUAUGAUUAUGGAUGUUGCUACAUGUUUCAUUA